rnacentral:rRNA from 1 species
GACGAACGCUGGCGGCGUGCUUAACACAUGCAAGUCGAACGGUAAGGCCCUUCGGGGUACACGAGUGGCGAACGGGUGAGUAACACGUGGGUGAUCUGCCCUGCACUUCGGGAUAAGCCUGGGAAACUGGGUCUAAUACCGGAUAGGACUCCUGCCUGCAUGGGUGGGGGUGGAAAGCUUUUGUGGUGUGGGAUGGGCCCGCGGCAUAUCAGCUUGUUGGUGGGGUGAUGGCCUACCAAGGCGACGACGGGUAGCCGGCCUGAGAGGGUGACCGGCCACACUGGGACUGAGAUACGGCCCAGACUCCUACGGGAGGCAGCAGUGGGGAAUAUUGCACAAUGGGCGCAAGCCUGAUGCAGCGACGCCGCGUGAGGGAUGACGGCCUUCGGGUUGUAAACCUCUUUCAGUAGGGACGAAGCGCAAGUGACGGCACCUACAGAAGAAGGACCGGCCAACUACGUGCCAGCCGCCGCAGUAA